CAUCCCGUCCGCGUCUCUUCAAUUGUUGGAUCGAGUAAUUGCUCGUCCGAUGUCGGUUUUCCUGUGCUGAAUACCUAUUGUGAGGGCAUUGUGUUGGCUACCAUCGUCUCAUUCCCGUCCCGUGCUGCUUCCCCUCGUGGGCUGGUGGUGCGGGGUGGGCCAAAUAGCACGCGUCGUGUCUCGCGCCCCGUUUGCCCAUUAAAUGGCAUUCGGAUCGAUGAACCACGACGUGUCGCUCGGUCUCUCGGGUACGGAACAUCAUGUGGGUACGGGGCCCUCGGCCUUGGAGCACCACAAACAAGCGUUCUACGCUUCGUGCGAACGACCGUCAGCUCGGUCUCCUGCUGCACCCUCUGGGCUCAGUUCGGAGUCGGGC
rnacentral:misc_RNA from 1 species